rnacentral:rRNA from 1 species
ACGGGGUGCAGCAGGCGCGAAACCUCUACAAUGUGCGAAAGCAUGAUAGGGGGACUCCAAGUGUCUCUCUAAAAAGAGACUUUUGUAGUAUGUAAAAAGUACUACGAAUAAGAGCUGGUCAAGACUAGUGCCAGCCUCCGCGGUAACACUGGCAGCUCGAGUGGUAGUCGUUUUUAUUUGGCUUAAAGCGUCCGUAGUCUGAUUAUUAAGUUCUCUGUGAAAUCCUGUUGCUUAACAAUAGGGCUUGCAGAGAAUACUAAUAAUCUUGGAGCCAGGAGGGGUUGUGGGUAUUCCUAGGGUAGCGGUGAAAUGCUAUAAUCCUAGGAGGACCACCGAUAGCGAAGGCACCCAACUAGAAUGGGCUCGACGAUGAGGGACGAAAGCUAGGGGAGCAAACAGGAUUAGAUACCCUGGUAGUCCUAGUUGUAAACGAUGUGGACUGAGUGUUUUUUGAACCUCGUGUUCAAGAAAUGUUGAAGGGAAACCGUUAAGUCCACCGCCUGGGGAGUACGGUCGCAAGGCUGAAACUCAACCUUUUUCUUUCUUUGAUAAAGAAAGACAAGAAAAAUUCCUUUUGGAAUUUUUGUGCCCAAGUUCCGCAAAGCGGAACUUCGGGAAAACGUUGACGAAAAAGAAAGAAACAUGCUGUUAAGCAUGGAUGAGGUUGAGCAGCAAACUUAAAGGAAUUGGCGGGGGAGCACCACAAGGGGUGGAGUCUGCAGUUCAAUUGGAUACAACCCCGAGAAACUUACCAGG